UCCGACCGCCGCUGAGGCAGCGCGUGGGCGCGCGACCAACGGCCGUAACGGUCGUUCCGGUUAUUCAAACAGCGCUCGGCCGCCGGAGCGUUUGCGCCUUCCGGCUAUAGAGGGAUCUCCGCAGAGAGGGACGGAGGGUCGUCGCCUCAUCCUCGGCAUCCAUGAAGCUUGGAUCUUCUUGAAAAUCUCAUCGUGCAGCAAUGAAUGGGUUUCAAAUCUUGUACAUCUGGCAGCAAUUCAAGACUUUGAGAACUUCAACACUCAACUGAGUGGCUUUGCAAUGCUGUGGCAAUGGCUUUUCUGUUUCAUGCCUUUGUGUUUUCAGUCUUCUAAG
ensembl:lncRNA